AAGUUUAUCUAUUUUGGUUUUUUUUUUAAUUUAGAUUUAGUUUUUAAAAAUUUUUGAUGUUAAAAUUUGUUGAAUAAUUUUUAUUAUUAAUUUGAAUUUUUUAUUAGUACCUUUUGUAUCAGGGUUAAUUUAUUAUUUAAAUUAUUUUUAUUCCCGAAUUUGAAUUAUUUAAUUCUAUAUUUUAUUAAUUGUUUCAUAAAUUUUAUUAAUAUAUUUUUUGUAAUUAAAAGUUAAUCGUUUUCAAAUUAUAUCUGGUUACUUUAGAUUAAAUUUAAUUUUAAAUUAUUUUUAUUUAAUUAAUCUUUAACUUUAAUUUUAUUUUAUAAAGGAUAAACUUUAUAUUUUUAUAUAAUUUAUUUAUUAUUAUUUUUAUUAAUUUUUAAAUUUUAUACUUAGUUUUUAAUAAAUUAUUUUAAUUUAAGUUGAUUUUAUUAAAUUUGUUUUUUUAUAAAGUUUAUUUAGUUAAUUAAAUUUAUUUUUAAUAUUGAUUAAAUUAGUAUAUUAUUUAAAAUAAGGAAAUUGAAUUCGACAAUAUAUUUUUCAAUUGUUUAUCAAAAACAUUUCUUUUAGGGUUAAGUUUAAAAGUAAAUUCUGCCCUAUGAUUUUUUAAAUGGCUGCAGUAUUUUAACUGUACAAAGGUAGCAUAAUAAUUAGUCUUUUAAUUGAGGGCUUGUAUGAAUGAAUAAAUGAAAGAAUCAUUAUAAUUAUUUUUAUAAUUUGAAUUUAAUUAUUUAGUCAAAAAGCUAAAUUGUUAGUUUGGGACGAAAAGACCCUAUAGAACUAUUAUUAAUUAAUUUAUUUAAUUUUUAUAAUACUUUAAUUAUUUUAAUUAUUUUUUAUUGGGGUGAUAAAUAAAUUUAAACUUUAUUUUAUUAUUUCUUUAAUUUAAGAUUUAUUUUGAUUCAAUGUAUUUGGUUUAAGAUAAAGUUACCUUAGGGAUAACAGCGUUAUUUAAAUGGAGAGUUCUUAUUUAUAUUUAAGUUUGCGACCUCGAUGUUGAAUUAAGAUUAAAUUUUGGGGCAGUACCUAAAUGUUUAAGUCUGUUCGACUUUUAAAAUCUUACAUGAUUUGAGUUCAAACCGGUGUGAGCCAGGUUGGUUUCUAUCUUAAUUUAAAAUAUUUAUUUUAGUACGAAAGGACCAAAUAAGUCAUUAUAAUUUAAUGUUAAUUAUUAAUUUAAAUAAU
rnacentral:rRNA from 1 species